UACGAAGGGGGCUAGCGUUGUUCGGAAUUACUGGGCGUAAAGCGUGCGCAGGCGGCUUCUCAAGUCAGGGGUGAAAGCCCAGAGCUCAACUCUGGAAUUGCCUUUGAGACUGAGUGGCUUGAGUACGAGAGAGGUGAGUGGAAUUCCCAGUGUAGAGGUGAAAUUCGUAGAUAUUGGGAAGAACACCGGUGGCGAAGGCGGCUAUCUGGACGGUUUCUGACGCUAAGACGCGAAAGCGUGGGGAGCAAACAGG
rnacentral:rRNA from 1 species